UCUUAUGUACAUACCUAUAACUUAGUGUUAAUGCAUCAAAUCCCAUUAGAACUCCGCAGUUAAGCGUGCUCGGGCUAGAGUAGUACUGGGAUGGGUGAACGCCCAGGAAGUCCUAGCAUUUUACAUGUC
rfam:Picea glauca, whole genome shotgun sequence.